AAGUCGUAACAAGGUUUCCGUAGGUGAACCUGCGGAAGGAUCAUUACAAUCCAAAAUACACAACCCCAUGUGAACCUGUGUUUGUAUGUCUUUGGGGGGCUCAAGGUUUUUCCCCUUUUGCCCCCCAUGUUUAUUGAACCACUCUGGUCUUUUCGUUGGAAUAACUUUUAUUAGCAAUAAUAAAGGACAACUUUUAACGGUGGAUCUCUUGGCUCGU
rnacentral:misc_RNA from 1 species